rnacentral:rRNA from 1 species
AACGAACGCUGGCGGCAUGCCUAACACAUGCAAGUCGAACGAGACCUUCGGGUCUAGUGGUGCACGGGUGCGUAACGCGUGGGAACCUGCCCUUAGGUUCGGAAUAACUCCCCGAAAGGGGUGCUAAUACCGGAUAAUGUCUUCGGACCAAAGAUUUAUCGCCUUUGGAUGGGCCCGCGUUGGAUUAGCUAGUUGGUAGGGUAAAAGCCUACCAAGGCGACGAUCCAUAGCUGGUCUGAGAGGAUGAUCAGCCACACUGGGACUGAGACACGGCCCAGACUCCUACGGGAGGCAGCAGUGGGGAAUAUUGGACAAUGGGCGAAAGACUGAUCCAGCAAUGCCGCGUGAGUGAUGAAGGCCUUAGGGUUGUAAAGCUCUUUUACCCGGGAUGAUAAUGACAGUACCGGGAGAAUAAGCUCCGGCUAACUCCGUG